CGGACGGGUGAGUAAUGUCUGGGAAACUGCCCGAUGGAGGGGGAUAACUACUGGAAACGGUAGCUAAUACCGCAUAACGUCGCAAGACCAAAGAGGGGACCUUCGGGCCUCUUGCCAUCGGAUGUGCCCGGAUGGGAUUAGCUAGUAGGUGAGGUAACGGCUUACCUAGGCGACGAUCCCUAGCUGGUCUGAGAGGAUGAUCAGCCACACUGGGACUGAGACACGGUCCAG
rnacentral:rRNA from 1 species